rnacentral:lncRNA from 1 species
UAAGUUGUCAUUUUUCAGCCGCAGGAAGCUCUUGCGAAAAAGGGUCUUCGGCUUUCUAUUUGGAAGGGAUAGAGGCCUAUUUUGGUGACCCACACAAACGGUGAGAAGAGGUAAAGAGAGAAAGGGGCACAGCAACUGGAAGGAGAGGGAAGUCCAGACACUCUACCACUGUCUGCGAUUGAAUAAGAAAUUUCUCUUUGGAUCAGGGGGUCAAGCUUCUAGUAUGAAGAUUGUUCAAGAGUCAAGACUGUUGAAGAGGUGACGUCAUGGACCUGGUAGCACCUGGCAAGGGAACUAAAUUAUAUUACUGUUCACCCUCAAGUAUCCUAAAAACGGUUUAAAAUUUUGAACAUUAACAAAAGUACUAAUUUUCAUUUUUUCAAAGAUAAUAAUCAUUAUAUUGAC